CUGGAGGGCCUAAAUAUCCUAAAAGCACCAGAUCCUUUCAAAUUUUGGAAACUAAGCAGGGUCAGUCCUGGUUAGUACUUGUAUAGUAAAAGGCCACGGAACACCAGGAAGCUGUAGU
rnacentral:rRNA from 11 species